rnacentral:sRNA from 1 species
AAUCAUUGUACUUCACCGCUCAUCUUCGUUUAAUUCUACUUUUCUGAAAAAACAAAUCAUCACAUCAUCUUUUCGCGUAUGCUAU